AAUAAGUGUAACAAUUAGUGUCUUUAUCUAACUUUAAUCGUCCAUCUUAUUUAAAGGUUUUUAUGAUUAGUGCUUUUAUUGUUGUUAGAUUAUAAAACAUGAAUAAUACUUUAUACGUAACUUAUGUUUUUUUAGUUUUUCAAAAAAAAGUAAAUAAGACGGACGAUUAAAGUAGAACAUGGCUAUGCUUAUU
rfam:Oryza glaberrima chromosome 6 Oglab06_0133_5, whole genome shotgun sequence.